rnacentral:rRNA from 1 species
GAUGAACGCUAGCUACAGGCUUAACACAUGCAAGUCGAGGGGAAACGACAUCGAAAGCUUGCUUUUGAUGGGCGUCGACCGGCGCACGGGUGAGUAACGCGUAUCCAACCCGCCCACCACUUGGGGAUAACCUUGAGAAAGUAAGACUAAUACCCAAUGACGUCUCUAGAAGACAUCUGAAGGAGAUUAAAGAUUUAUCGGUGAUGGAUGGGGAUGCGUCUGAUUAGCUUGUUGGCGGGGUAACGGCCCACCAAGGCGACGAUCAGUAGGGGUUCUGAGAGGAAGGUCCCCCACAUUGGAACUGAGACACGGUCCAAACUCCUACGGGAGGCAGCAGUGAGGAAUGUUGGUCAAUGGGCGAGAGCCUGAACCAGCCAAGUAGCGUGCAGGAUGACGGCCCUAUGGGUUGUAAACUGCUUUUAUAAGGGAAUAAAGUGAGUCUCGUGAGACUUUUUGCAUGUACCUUAUGAAUAAGGACCGGCUAAUUCCGUGCCAGCCGCCGCGGUAA